GGAGAGGUGCCGGAGCGGUCGAACGGGGCGGUCUCGAAAACCGUUGUGGGCGUGAGUCCACCCAGGGUUCGAAUCCCUGUCUCUCCGCCA
rnacentral:tRNA from 1 species